CAUACUACUCAAAAGACAUGCCAACACCGACCCAGCCACAAACCCUUCUAUCUGUAAUGGUGUCCUGCUUGUAGGAUAUGCUAGUGGAAUUGUGGCAUGCGACUUAUGGGAGAAACAUUUAUCUCUUUUUAAGAUUCCCAAACCAUCCUCUUUGAAAGUAACUGCUGACAACAUGACCAUAUCUGAUGAAAGCAAAAAGAAGGCUGUUUUAUUUUUUUAUGGUCUGUUUAUCCUAUUGGAUCCUUUAGAAAUGUGGUGUUGGAGCUUUUGGAACAGCUCAUGUAUGAUGAAAUCUCUUCCACUGGAAUGGAGGAAGUUCUUCCAGAUAUCCAAAAACUGAAGACCCUUGAUUGCUUUGUCCUUCUUGGAGUGCUUGGAUGACAGCUGUAUCUAAGAAAUCUCAACAAUAUGGUCUCCUAAACAAUGACAAGAUCAGU